rnacentral:rRNA from 1 species
AUUGAACGCUGGCGGCAUGCUUUACACAUGCAAGUCGAACGGUAACAGGCCUUCGGGUGCUGACGAGUGGCGAACGGGUGAGUAAUGCAUCGGAACGUGCCCAGAGGUGGGGGAUAACGCAGCGAAAGCUGUGCUAAUACCGCAUGUGAUCUGAGGAUGAAAGCGGGGGACCAGGCAGCAAUGUUUGGCCUCGCGCCUUUGGAGCGGCCGAUGUCAGAUUAGGUAGUUGGUGGGGUAAAGGCCUACCAAGCCGACGAUCUGUAGCUGGUCUGAGAGGACGACCAGCCACACUGCGACUGAGACACGGCCCAGACUCCUACGGGAGGCAGCAGUGGGGAAUUUUGGACAAUGGGCGCAAGCCUGAUCCAGCAAUGCCGCGUGCGGGAAGAAGGCCUUCGGGUUGUAAACCGCUUUUGUACGGAACGAAAAGGCUCUGGCUAAUACCUGGGGCUGAUGACGGUACCGUAAGAAUAAGCACCGGCUAACUACGUG